rnacentral:rRNA from 1 species
ACGGGAGGCAGCAGUGGGGAAUAUUGGGCAAUGGGCGAAAGCCUGACCCAGCAACGCCGCGUGAAGGAAGAAGGUCUUCGGAUUGUAAACUUCUUUUAUGAGGGACGAAGGACGUGACGGUACCUCAUGAAUAAGCCACGGCUAACUACGUGCCAGCAGCCGCGGUAAUACGUAGGUGGCGAGCGUUAUCCGGAUUUACUGGGUGUAAAGGGCGUGUAGGCGGAGCUGCAAGUCAGAUGUGAAAUCCAUGGGCUCAACCCAUGAAUUGCAUUUGAAACCGUAGCCCUUGAGUAUCGGAGAGGCAAGCGGAAUUCCUAGUGUAGCGGUGAAAUGCGUAGAUAUUAGGAGGAACACCAGUGGCGAAGGCGGCUUGCUGGACGACAACUGACGCUGAGGCGCGAAAGCGUGGGGAGCAAACAGGAUUAGAUACCCUGGU